AAUGAACGCUGGCGGCAUGCCUAACACAUGCAAGUCGAACGAAGCCUUCGGGCUUAGUGGCGCACGGGUGCGUAACGCGUGGGAAUCUGCCCUUGGGUUCGGAAUAACAGUGGGAAACUACUGCUAAUACCGAAUGAUGUCGUAAGACCAAAGAUUUAUCGCCCAGGGAUGAGCCCGCGUAGGAUUAGCUAGUUGGUGUGGUAAAGGCGCACCAAGGCGACGAUCCUUAGCUGGCUGAGAGGAUGAUCAGCCACACUGGGACUGAGACACGGCCCAGACUCCUACGGGAGGCAGCAGUGGGGAAUAUUGGACAAUGGGCGAAAGCCUGAUCCAGCAAUGCCGCGUGAGUGAUGAAGGCCUUAGGGUUGUAAAGCUC
rnacentral:rRNA from 1 species